rnacentral:rRNA from 1 species
GGUUAAGCGACUAAGCGUACACGGUGGAUGCCCUGGCAGUCAGAGGCGAUGAAGGACGUGCUAAUCUGCGAAAAGCGUCGGUAAGGUGAUAUGAACCGUUAUAACCGGCGAUGUCCGAAUGGGGAAACCCAGUGCAAUUCGUUGCACUAUCGUUAACUGAAUACAUAGGUUAACGAGGCGAACCGGGGGAACUGAAACAUCUAAGUACCCCGAGGAAAAGAAAUCAACCGAGAUUCCCCCAGUAGCGGCGAGCGAACGGGGAGCAGCCCAGAGUCUGAAUCAGCUUGUGUGUUAGUGGAACGGUCUGGAAAGUCCGACGGUACAGGGUGAUAGUCCCGUACACCAAAAUGCACAGGCUGUGAACUCGAAGAGUAGGGCGGGACACGUGGUAUCCUGUCUGAAUAUGGGGGGACCAUCCUCCAAGGCUAAAUACUCCUGACUGACCGAUAGUGAACCAGUACCGUGAGGGAAAGGCGAAAAGAACCCCGGCGAGGGGAGUGAAAAAGAACCUGAAACCGUGUACGUACAAGCAGUGGGAGCACCUUCGGGUGUGACUGCGUACCUUUUGUAUAAUGGGUCAGCGACUUAUAUUCUGUAGCAAGGUUAACCGUAUAGGGGAGCCGCAGGGAAACCGAGUCUUAACUGGGCGUUAAGUUGCAGGGUAUAGACCCGAAACCCGGUGAUCUAGCCAUGGGCAGGUUGAAGGUUGGGUAACACUAACUGGAGGACCGAACCGACUAAUGUUGAAAAAUUAGCGGAUGACUUGUGGCUGGGGGUGAAAGGCCAAUCAAACCGGGAGAUAGCUGGUUCUCCCCGAAAGCUAUUUAGGUAGCGCCUCGUGAAUUCAUCUUCGGGGGUAGAGCACUGUUUCGGCUAGGGGGUCAUCCCGACUUACCAACCCGAUGCAAACUACGAAUACCGAAGAAUGUUAUCACGGGAGACACACGGCGGGUGCUAACGUCCGUCGUGAAGAGGGAAACAACCCAGACCGCCAGCUAAGGUCCCAAAGUCAUGGUUAAGUGGGAAACGAUGUGGGAAGGCACAGACAGCCAGGAUGUUGGCUUAGAAGCAGCCAUCAUUUAAAGAAAGCGUAAUAGCUCACUGGUCGAGUCGGCCUGCGCGGAAGAUGUAACGGGGCUAAACCAUGCACCGAAGCUGCGGCAGCGACACUAUGUGUUGUUGGGUAGGGGAGCGUUCUGUAAGCCUGCGAAGGUGACCUGUGAGGGUUGCUGGAGGUAUCAGAAGUGCGAAUGCUGACAUAAGUAACGAUAAAGCGGGUGAAAAGCCCGCUCGCCGGAAGACCAAGGGUUCCUGUCCAACGUUAAUCGGGGCAGGGUGAGUCGACCCCUAAGGCGAGGCCGAAAGGCGUAGUCGAUGGGAAACAGGUUAAUAUUCCUGUACUUGGUGUUACUGCGAAGGGGGGACGGAGAAGGCUAUGUUAGCCGGGCGACGGUUGUCCCGGUUUAAGCAUGUAGGCUGGUUAUCCAGGCAAAUCCGGAUAAUCAAGGCUGAGGUGUGAUGACGAGGCACUACGGUGCUGAAGUAACAAAUGCCCUGCUUCCAGGAAAAGCCUCUAAGCAUCAGGUAACAUUGAAUCGUACCCCAAACCGACACAGGUGGUCAGGUAGAGAAUACCAAGGCGCUUGAGAGAACUCGGGUGAAGGAACUAGGCAAAAUGGUGCCGUAACUUCGGGAGAAGGCACGCUGGUGUGUAGGUGAAGCCCCUGCGGGUGGAGCUGAGACCAGUCGAAGAUACCAGCUGGCUGCAACUGUUUAUUAAAAACACAGCACUGUGCAAACACGAAAGUGGACGUAUACGGUGUGACGCCUGCCCGGUGCCGGAAGGUUAAUUGAUGGGGUUAUCCGUAAGGAGAAGCUCUUGAUCGAAGCCCCGGUAAACGGCGGCCGUAACUAUAACGGUCCUAAGGUAGCGAAAUUCCUUGUCGGGUAAGUUCCGACCUGCACGAAUGGCGUAAUGAUGGCCAGGCUGUCUCCACCCGAGACUCAGUGAAAUUGAACUCGCUGUGAAGAUGCAGUGUACCCGCGGCAAGACGGAAAGACCCCGUGAACCUUUACUAUAGCUUGACACUGAACAUUGAGCCUUGAUGUGUAGGAUAGGUGGGAGGCUUUGAAGCGUGGACGCCAGUCUGCGUGGAGCCAACCUUGAAAUACCACCCUUUAAUGUUUGAUGUUCUAACGUUGGCCCCUGACCGGGGUUGCGGACAGUGUCUGGUGGGUAGUUUGACUGGGGCGGUCUCCUCCCAAAGCGUAACGGAGGAGCACGAAGGUUAGCUAAUCCUGGUCGGACAUCAGGAGGUUAGUGCAAUGGCAUAAGCUAGCUUGACUGCGAGCGUGACGGCGCGAGCAGGUGCGAAAGCAGGUCAUAGUGAUCCGGUGGUUCUGAAUGGAAGGGCCAUCGCUCAACGGAUAAAAGGUACUCCGGGGAUAACAGGCUGAUACCGCCCAAGAGUUCAUAUCGACGGCGGUGUUUGGCACCUCGAUGUCGGCUCAUCACAUCCUGGGGCUGAAGUAGGUCCCAAGGGUAUGGCUGUUCGCCAUUUAAAGUGGUACGCGAGCUGGGUUUAGAACGUCGUGAGACAGUUCGGUCCCUAUCUGCCGUGGGCGCUGGAGAAUUGAGGGGGGCUGCUCCUAGUACGAGAGGACCGGAGUGGACGCAUCACUGGUGUUCGGGUUGUCAUGCCAAUGGCACUGCCCGGUAGCUAAAUGCGGAAGAGAUAAGUGCUGAAAGCAUCUAAGCACGAAACUUGCCCCGAGAUGAGUUCUCCCUGAGACUUUAAGUCUCCUGAAGGAACGUUGAAGACGACGACGUUGAUAGGCCGGGUGUGUAAGCGCAGCGAUGCGUUGAGCUAACCGGUACUAAUGAACCGUGAGGCUUAACCUU